GAUGAACGCUGACAGAAUGCUUAACACAUGCAAGUCAACUGGAACUUCGGUUUGGGUGGCGGACGGGUGAGUAACGCGUAAAGAACUUGCCUCACAGAUAGGGACAACAUUUGGAAACGAAUGCUAAUACCGGAUAUUAUGAUUAUAUGGCAUCGUAUAAUUAUGAAAGCUAUAUGCGCUGUGAGAGAGCUUUGCGUCCGAUUAGCUAGUUGGAGAGGUAACGGCCCACCAAGGCGAGGAUGGGUAGCCGGCCUGAGAGGGUGAUCGGCCACAAGGAGACUGAGAGACAGCCCUUACUCCUUCGGGCGGCAGCAGGGAGGAAUGUUGGACAAUGGACCAAGAGUCUGAUCAAGCAAUUCUGUGUGCACGAUGAAGUUUUUCGGAAUGUAAAGUGCUUUCAGUUGGGAAGAAAAAAAUGACGGUACCAACAGAAGAAGUGACGGCUAACUACGUG
rnacentral:rRNA from 1 species